AGGGUGACUAUGUCAUCGGUGGGAUUUUCCCCAUUCAUUUUAAUCUGAAAAUACCAGACCUUAACGGCACCUACAGACCAGAACCUAUAAAUUGCAAUGGCCACAGAAUUGAUCCCAAGGCUUUCCGGUGGGCUCAGACUAUGAGACUGGCAGUGGAGGAGAUAAACCAGAAUCCAGUGCUGUUGCAGAAUCACACUCUAGGCUACAAAAUCUUUGAUUCAUGUGGAUAUCCACUGACAGGACAGAGAGCUGUUUUAUCGAUGCUGAACGGAGUGAGUGAGGAAAACUCUUCUAUGUGCACAAAUGCCUCAUCACUCCUCGCUGUGAUUGGGGCUUUUGGAUCUUCUCAGUCUAUUGUUUUGUCAAGAAUCCUGCAAACAUUCAGGAUCCCCAUGAUCAGCUAUGCUUCUACAUGUGCAUGUUUG